UAAAUUGAUGAAUAUGGAUGCCUGCUUCUAACGACGCCGUUUAAGCGAUUCUCCCACAUUCGAUUCGAGUAUGAACUUCGACGAUUCGUGUACCCAUUUACUCCAUACCUUUCCUUUCCUUUGUAUUCGCGUCUUGGAAGCUAGGAGAAGUCUGCCGAAGAAGGAAAUGCUUUUGCUAUAUGCAAAGGCUAAGAGGUGGUAAGAUGGAAUCCAUUCUGGAGUUUGAAGAAGCUAAGUGAGGUGGACUACCUAGAAAUCUACCCUAACAAGCCUAGUUGCUAAUCGCAUACCCAAAGCAUGUGGCUUGGAAACCAAGGGAUAGCACCUGUUGAAAAGAGUUGCUUCUGAGUUUGGUAUAUGUCACCUAAAAAACAAGGUGCAAUAGUUUUCCAUCUCAAAGUGUAGCCAAAAACACUCCUUACAACAGGUUGAAGUUUUCCUUUAGAUAAUUGGGAUCCAGUUACAAAGGCGACUCAGAUGGGAGAACGGGGGCUCACUUUGAAAAAUGAGAUGAUGUGCUUUUAACUAAUCUUCUUUCUUGUCUGGAUUAGAGACAUUUUGGAGCGCCAUUUCAUCGGAGAGUUGCAUGGAAAUAACCCGACAUUGUCAUUUGGAAAAUCAAUACCAACAUAUUAGAUCUCAUCAACAAGGCCUGGCAGGUAAAUGUGCUCUUUCAAGAAGAAUUGGCUGUGUAAAAUUGAGAUGGUGCUUUUUUUAUUUUUUUAUUCGCUAUCCGAAAGUGUUCACUUGUACACCACCAGGUCAUCUACGGGACGAGAUUGUGGUAUUUUAUGUAAUACAUUAUUGGUGGUUGUUGAAAGGCAGGGCAUCCCUUUACUUGAGGUAUGUAAUGUGACUUGGAAAAUGUUUGGAUA